ensembl:ncRNA M79.8 ncRNA
UGGCCCCUGAAUAACUUUGCUCUUUCUGCGUUUCAUAUGGCAUCUGUGUCACAAGUCCGCCUCUUUCCGUUGCCGGCAGGGCGUACACCCUUUUAAAUUUGUUCGGAUGCGGAGCAGUAGAAGCGAAAUUCGGUGUAUGCGUAUGUGAUGCGGAUGCUACGAACACCAAACCAAAUGCAAUUUGUGCGCGCCU